rnacentral:misc_RNA from 1 species
GAUGAAGAACGCAGCGAAAUGCGAUAAGUAGUGUGAAUUGCAGAAUUCAGUGAAUCAUCGAAUCUUUGAACGCACAUUGCGCCCUUUGGUAUUCCUUAGGGCAUGCCUGUUCGAGCGUCAUUUAAACCUUCAAGCUAAGCUUGGUGUUGGGUGACUGUCCGCUUCACGGCGGACUCGCCUCAAAAUUAUUGGCGGCCGGUACAUUGGCUUCGAGCGCAGCAGAAACGCGAACUCGGGCCCGUCGUAUUGGCUCCCAGAAGCUAUCUUCACAAUUUUGACCUCGGAUCAGGUAGGGUUACCCGCUGAACUUAAGCAUAUCAAUAAGCGGAGGA